GCUUUCCUGUGGCUCAGUCAGUAGAAGAUUGUGCUAGCAACGCAAGGUGAUGGGUUCAAACCCCGGGGAAAGCA